rnacentral:rRNA from 1 species
UACGGAGGGGGCAAGCGUUGUUCGGAAUUACUGGGCGUAAAGGGCGCGUAGGCGGCAAGGCAAGUCAGGCGUGAAAGCCCCGAGCUUAACUCGGGAAUUGCAUCUGAAACUGCUGUGCUUGAGUUCUGGAGGGGGUAGUGGAAUUCCCAGUGUAGCGGUGAAAUGCGUAGAUAUUGGGAGGAACACCUGCGGCGAAGGCGGCUACCUGGACAGAAACUGACGCUGAGGCGCGAAAGCUAGGGGAGCGAACGGG